rnacentral:rRNA from 1 species
UACGGAGGAUGCAAGCGUUAUCCGGAAUCACUGGGCGUAAAGGGUGCGUAGGCGGGUCUUUAAGUCAGGGGGGAAAUCCUGGAGCUCAACUCCAGAACUGCCUUUGAUACUGAAGAUCUUGAGUUCGGGAGAGGUGAGUGGAACUGCGAGUGUAGAGGUGAAAUUCGUAGAUAUUCGCAAGAACACCAGUGGCGAAGGCGGCUCACUGGCCCGAUACUGACGCUGAGGCACGAAAGCGUGGGGAGCAAACAGG